GAAAACUACAAUAAUUACACUUGCAGGGUUAAGGGUAGUGGGAGUUAGCACCCAGACCACUCCAAUGGGCAAAAGUGGUCUGGGUGCCUGGAGUGUCCCUUUACAAGCUUCCCUUUACAAACAUCCCAGAAAGCUACAUCUUAACUACUGUCCCAAACAUCAAAUGAAAAAGCUAUAUUCCAACUUUACAGUGUGCAUAUAUUCCAAGCAGUGGCUGCAUGCAUGUGCAGUCACACAAUUGGUCAGUCAAUGUGAAGGGUUUAUUCACAAAGCUAAAG